CCUCUCCUCCCACACAACCUCAGGGGUGAGGAUCACGCCACAGUGCCUGCAGCUGUAAGAGGGCAUCUAAGCCAGCAUGUGCCCAACAAGCAGAACAGGUGGAAAGCCCAACAGCUUCCCAAGGGGCUGCCAGCUGAUGCCAAGCCAGUGGGAAUAUAGUUGGAGCUGCAGGCAGCCAUCUUUGCCACCAGCUCCAGGACUUGCCUGGCAAUGAGACCCACAGAAAGGAAGGCAAAGCUGAGAAAUGAAGGUAGAUGGAUUCCUGGCAAAGUUGUUUGAGCAUUUGGACUCAGCCAUGCCUGAAACUAUUGCCUAUACACUUUUCAGUUAUUUGAAACAAUAAAAAUAAAUUCUCUUUUUUUGCUGAAGCCAAUUUGAGGUGGUUUUUUUUUUUUUGUCAUUUGCAACCAAACCAAUCUCUCUAAGAAUUUGAAUAUCUAAGAAUUGGGUUUAUUGUUGCAUGUGAGGCUUAUAAGAUCCAAGCAUCAAUGUCCUUUUUCCUUCACCUCACCUCUCUGAGCUUUCAGAAAUUGUCACCUAACCUAGGCCAGAGCCCCAUCACAGACUGAGCACACGACAUUUGUUUCAUGAUGAAGUUGAGAAAAAUGGUUUUGGAGGAAAGUGAAAGGCAAAAAAAAAAAAAAAAAAGAUAAAUGCUUGUCACUGAUGUGCAAUGACACAUUAA